CGAUUAUAAGCUUUCUUUAAUUAAAAAAUUGAAUUUAAUUUUUUUGUGAAGAAGCAAAAAUUUAAAUUAGGGACAAGAAGACCCUAUGAAUUUUGAAUUAAAUAACAUAAUUUAAAUAAAUUAUGUUAUUUAAAUUAAUUGGGGUGAUUGGAAAAGAAUAUUUAUCUUUUUAAGGAUUUAAUUUGUUCCGUUUAUAGCGAUUUUAUGAAAAAAAUACUCUAGGGAUAACAGCGUAAUAAUUUUGGAUAGUUCAUAUAGAUAAAAUAGUUUGCGACCUCG
rnacentral:rRNA from 1 species